GGGGUUGUGGCUCAGUGGUAGAGUGCUUGCCUCGCAUGUGUGAGGCCCUGGGUUCAAUCCUCAGCACCA
rnacentral:tRNA from 1 species